rnacentral:SRP_RNA from 10 species
GUUGACAAAAGCAAGAAGUAGCAUGCCUGUGGUCCCAGCUACUGAGGAGACUGAGGCAGGGGAUCGCUUGGGCCCAGAAGUUCUGGGCUAUGGUGCACCAUGUUGAUCGGAUGUCUGCACUAAGUUCAGCGACUCCCAGGAGGAGAAGACUACCAGGCUGCCUAAGGCCAGGUGAACCACCCUAAGUCACAAAGGCAGCAGGUCAAAACUCCCGUGCUGAUCAGUGGUGGAAUCACAUGUCUGAAUAGCCACUGUACCCCACCCUGGGCAACACAGCAAGACCCUAUCU